rnacentral:rRNA from 1 species
GGAAUAUUGGACAAUGGGGGCAACCCUGAUCCAGCCAUGCCGCGUGUGUGAAGAAGGCCUUCGGGUUGUAAAGCACUUUCAGUGGGGAGAAAAGUGAUUCACCUAAUACGUGAGUCAAUUGAUGUUACCCACAGAAGACGCACCGGCUAACUCCGUGCCAGCAGCCGCGGUAAUACGGAGGGUGCAAGCGUUAAUCGGAAUUACUGGGCGUAAAGCGCACGUAGGUGGUUUGUUAAGCCAGCUGUGAAAUCCCCGGGCUCAACCUGGGCACUGCGGUUGGAACUGGCAAGCUAGAGUAGGGUAGAGGGGUGUGGAAUUCCAGGUGUAGCGGUGAAAUGCGUAGAUAUCUGGAGGAACAUCAGUGGCGAAGGCGACACCCUGGACUCAUACUGACACUGAGGCGCGAAAGCGUGGGGAGCAAA